rnacentral:rRNA from 1 species
CAGUCGCCGCGGUAAUACGUAGGGCGCGAGCGUUGUCCGGAAUUACUGGGCGUAAAGAGCUCGUAGGCGGUUUGUCGCGUCGUCUGUGAAAUUCUGCAGCUUAACUGUAGGCGUGCAGGCGAUACGGGCAGACUUGAGUACUACAGGGGAGACUGGAAUUCCUGGUGUAGCGGUGAAAUGCGCAGAUAUCAGGAGGAACACCGGUGGCGAAGGCGGGUCUCUGGGUAGUAACUGACGCUGAGGAGCGAAAGCGUGGGUAGCGAACAGGAUUAGAGACCCCCGUAGUCCCUGUCUCUUAUAC